GAUGAACGCUAGCGGCAGGCUUAAUACAUGCAAGUCGAGGGGCAGCAUGAGUAGCAAUACUUGAUGGCGACCGGCAAACGGGUGCGGAACACGUACACAACCUUCCUUCGAGCGGGGAAUAGCCCAGGGAAACUUGGAUUAAUACCCCCUAGUAUAUUGAAAGGGCAUCUUUUUAAUCUUAAAUAUUUAUCACUUGAAGAUGGGUGUGCGGCAGAUUAGGUAGUUGGCAGGGUAACGGCCUACCAAGCCUACGAUCAGUAGCUGAUGUGAGAGCAUGAUCAGCCACACGGGCACUGAGACACGGGCCCGACUCCUACGGGAGGCAGCAGUAAGGAAUAUUGGUCAAUGGACGAAAGUCUGAACCAGCCAUGCCGCGUGGAGGAUGAAGGUCCUCUGGAUUGUAAACUUCUUUUAUAAGGGACGAAAAAAGGGUAUUCUUACUCACUUGACGGUACCUUAUGAAUAAGCACCGGCUAACUCCGUGCCAGCAGCCGCAGUAAUAC
rnacentral:rRNA from 1 species